rnacentral:lncRNA from 1 species
AUAUAUAUAUAUAUAUAUAACAUCUUUUAAAGUUUUAAACAUGUUUCUAAUAACUCUUACAAAUCAUAUCACACACAAAAAUUAUUUUAAUCCUCGUACAUUUGUUUUAUUUAAGUAUAGUCUAGUCAAUUUCCUGUACUUUGUCUUUCUAGAAAACAUUCUGUUUUUAUGUUACAGCCGUGUCCCGCAUUAAUUGGCAACCUCUUCCAUUAUUUCACAUUCACACAUACAUUAUCUUAACCUUUUCUUUUGUCUUUUUCCUUCUCUGAUAGCCAUAAGAACAUCAGAGUUUCUAGCCAAAUCUGCUUGGUGC